rnacentral:rRNA from 1 species
ACGGGAGGCAGCAGUCGGGAAUAUUGCGCAAUGGAGGAAACUCUGACGCAGUGACGCCGCGUAUAGGACGAAGGUCUUCGGAUUGUAAACUAUUGUCGUUAGGGAAGAGAAAGGACAGUACCUAAGGAGGAAGCUCCGGCUAACUACGUGCCAGCAGCCGCGGUAAUACGUAGGGAGCAAGCGUUAUCCGGAUUUAUUGGGUGUAAAGGGUGCGUAGACGGGAAGUUAAGUUAGUUGUGAAAUCCCUCGGCUCAACUGAGGAACUGCAACUAAAACUGGCUUUCUUGAGUGUUGGAGAGGAAAGCGGAAUUCCUAGUGUAGCGGUGAAAUGCGUAGAUAUUAGGAGGAACACCAGUGGCGAAGGCGGCUUUCUGGACAAUAACUGACGUUGAGGCACGAAAGUGUGGGGAGCAAACAGGAUUAGAUACCCUGGUA